rnacentral:rRNA from 1 species
CUUCAACGCUGGCUGCGUGCUUUACACGUGCAAGUCGGACGAGUGGCGAACGGGUGCGUAACGCGUGGGAACGUACCGAGUAAUGGGGGAUAACUGUCCGGAACGGGAGCUAAUACCGCAUAUUAUUGCAGGGGCCGAUGUCUGAUUGGCUGGUGGGCGGGGUAAAGGCCCACCAAGACGACGAUCAGUAGCGGGUCGGAGAGGAUGAUCAGCCACACUGGGACUGAGACACGGCCCAGACUCCUACGGGAGGCAGCAGUGGGGAAUUUUGGACAAUGGGCGCAAGCCUGAUCCAGCCAUGCCGCGUGUCUGAAGAAGGCCUUCGGGUUGUAAAGGACUUUUGUCAGGGAAGCGGUACCUGAAGAAUAAGCACCGGCUAACUACGUGCCAGCAGCCGCGGUAAUAC